UUGGAGGGCAAGUCUGGUGCCAGCAGCCGCGGUAAUUCCAGCUCCAAUAGCGUAUAUUAAAGUUGUUGCAGUUAAAAAGCUCGUAGUUGAACCUCGGGAUCAAUGGGUCGGUCGUGCCAAUGGUAUGUACUGGCCUCAUUGGUUCUCACCUUCUAAGGAACCGUGAUGUCAUUUGUUUGAUGUUGCGGGGAAUUAGGACUGUUACCUUGAAAAAAUUAGAGUGUUUAAAGCAGGCCAACGCUUGAAUACAUUAGCAUGGAAUAAUGAAAUAGGACAUCGCAUUCUAUUUUGUUGGUUUCUAGGAUCGAUGUAAUGAUUAAUAGGGAUAGUUGGGGGCAUUAGUAUUCAAUUGUCAGAGGUGAAAUUCUUGGAUUUAUUGAAGACUAACUACUGCGAAAGCAUUUGCCAAGGAUGUUUUCAUUAAUCAAGAACGAAAGUUAGGGGAUCGAAGACGAUCGGAUACCGUCGUAGUCUUAACCAUAAACUAUGCCGACUAGGGAUCGGAUGAUGUUAAUUUUUUAAUGGCUCAUUCGGCGCCUUACGGGAAAC
rnacentral:rRNA from 1 species